UUUUACGCGUUCGUGCGGUGCAACGUGACAUUUGCGUUUGGAAAAUUGUUUCAUAUUAUUUGUAUUUUCUCUACUUUCUUUAUCGCCUAAUAAUCUGAACUUCUUUAUAGCGCUCUGAAAACUACUGCACAAAUAAAUCAAUAAACACCUGACGACAAUAUCCUUAUGUAUCGAGAUUUGUUACAACUACAAAGAGCUUGCACAUGUGGCAAAAAAAACUACGAAUAUGGACUUCGGAUAAUGUAGAAAAUCGUUAAACUCAGUAUUUCGAAAACCCUAAUAGUGUUGAUACGUAAUUUGGAUACAUUGCACGCGAGUAAAAUAUUUUUGCUUAAAUAUAUAAAUUUCAUUUCCUACCUUUCGGAACUUGCUGAACUAGGAGGAUCAAACUGCUGAAUCUUGGCUGCCAUUACUGACAAAUGACGAACGUCUCGUUUUGUUCAAAUGACGGACGAACUCAGGCGCAAACCCUUAUUACGAAUUGAAUUGAACGCACCGAAAUAAUGUCGGAAAUUUCAACUAAAGAUGUUAUCGUCAGAACACUUGCCACUAAAGUCACGGAGGACCUGGUGCGGCGGCGCAGUGAGCACAAUGACGGGGAUGUUUGCUCCCUGCAGGAGCUCUCUCUGGCCCAGGAGCGCGUUGGCAAGAUAGAGCACCUGCAGAACUGGUGCCGUGACCUGCGCAUCCUGCUGCUCCAGGACAACCUCAUACAGACCAUCGAGAACUUGGGGCGCCUGAAGCGACUACAGUACCUCAACUUGGCAGUGAACUGCGUGGAGCGCAUUGACGGACUGCACGGCUGCGAGAGCCUUGGCAAGCUCGACCUCACUCUCAACUUCGUGGGCGUGCUGAGCAGCGUGGCCAGCCUGCGCUUCAACCCCGUCCUUCACUGCCUGUAUUUGACUGGCAACCCCUGCACUGACUACGAGGGCUACCGCCAGUACGUAGUGGCAAUGCUGCCCCAGCUCACGUCUCUCGAUGGUCAAGAGAUCUCCCGCUCUGAGAGGAUCGCAGCGCAGCAGGCUCUCCCUGCACUAGAAGGCAUGAUCCUCAGGCAGCAGCGAGAUUAUGCAAUGUUCCGUGCAGCGCAGAAGGAGCGAGCCACCAGCAGGCUGCGGCAUGUGCUCAGGGUGUGUCAGAGUGCACACGAGGCAGAGAUCAAGCAGUUGUGGGAGAGCCCUAGCGAGAACUGCCCCGAGGAACGACUGGCACUGGCCGCCUUAUCCCGGAGGCAGGCCCCUGCUGAGUCCGCCCCACCCUCGGCUCCAGUGCGCAAGCUGCGCGCUGCAGAUGGUCGCCCCCUCAACAUCAACCAGGCCAAGAUACCCUUCACGCUGACCGAGGAUGAGAGUGGCUGCUACGUGCUGGAUGUAGCCGUCUACAGGCACCUGGACACAGCGCUCGUGGCAGCGGACGUGCAUCCUGACCACGUGGCGCUCACCAUCAAGGGCAAGCUGCUGCAGCUGGUGUUCCCCGUAGAGGUACAGGCUGACCGUGCCCUGGUGCGUCGCUCCCAGACAACCGGCCACCUGCAGGUCAUCGCCCCCAAGGUGGGGGCAAUGCUGGGGGUGGGGCCACACCCCUCCAGGGAGCCCCAACCACAAACUCCUUCCUCGGUGGACACCUGCCCGGACGAGGCAGACGUGCCCCCCCUCGAGUGAGACGGCCAAGCCAAAGUACUCGACACUUUGUAUCCGUCCAACUCGUCCCGUUGCUAUGAACAUCUACAUCUUAAAAAGUGCUGCUAUUGUUGGAUACUACACAAAGAAGGUACUCUUCAUUGGGGUGAAAAACAAAUACUACACAAUUUGCAAUCGCACAGAGAAGAAAGGUGCAACUGUUGCCGAUCAUGCUUGUAGUAAGAACUGGGGUGUUCACCAAACAUCAAUAAGCAUGGAAUCGGCUAUCAUUCUUGAAGGUUUUCUUGCAAGUGAGGAUACGCUAAAAUUGUUGCAGAUGGAGACAGCAGUGUGUAUAAAAAUAUUCUAGACGCAAGACCUUACAAAUCAUUGACUGUAGAAAAAAUUGAGUGAUCGAACCACCUUUUAAGGAAUUAUUGUAAUAAAUUGAGAGACAUUGCAGCAACAAGUGAUGGAGGCCGUUAUCCCAUUUGUAGAGGCACGAUUAUAUGGUAAUGCGCGAUAAAACAAAAUAACACCGAAAACCGCUUGAAAACACAAAAUAAAACGAAAUUGUGCGAAAUCCGCUAUAUGUCACGAAAUUUCGUCUAUCCUGAUUAUUUACGUUUUUUUUUCCAUUCUGUAAGGACAAUUCACUAUCUUCAGCGCAAUCAAAUAUUUCUGACAGUAACUAGCAGCCAUAUAUAUUAUAUGCGACGGUGAUUCAUUAUAGAUUUUAAAAUGAAGUCUCGGAAUUAACGUAAUAUUUUCUUUAAACGGUAAUCUUGUGUACCAUAAUAAUUUAAGAUGUUGAUAACUAUGAUACAAUGGCCGCCGUUCACUUACUGUAAAUACAGAAAUAACAAACGUCCAAAAUAUGUUUUUCUAAGAUUACGUUUUUAAUCAUUAAAAUAUUACACACUAAAGCGCAUUGCUUUUACUGUUUAUUUAAAAUAAAGUACGUAGGGUACAAAAAUAAAAUGAACACUGCUUAACGUAACGAUUGUAAGUAAUAGUACAUGUUUAUGUCUGUAUUAAUUUUCACGUACGUAUGUUGGUAUUCGGUAUGCGUUUGUAUUCGCAUCUAUUCUCCAUUGUUUUGAUCUUUCCAGUACGGCAAGUGUUUGCGUAUUUUGAGGUUAAAUUCUUCCUAUGUGAUUAAAAAAUUUUGAUAAUGCCUAAAACGAAGGUUUCUGCCAGUGACCAAUCGAAAGAAUUUUCCAGCGAAGGAUUUUAUUUCAGUGAUAAAAUGUUAAUAUGCAAAUUCUGUAACUGCAGGCUAGACUACGAGAGACGCGAUAUGUUUGUGAAACAUGUCGCGAGUGAGAAACAUAAGCGUUUGAGGCAAAACUCAUCUGUUAAACGACAUCCUUGUCUAAGAGUCUUCAAUGCCAUUAAUUUCCUGUUCAACCCAAGAAAUGUGAGUAGGGUUAGCAUAGAAGAUGCAAACCUAUAGAAGUCUCUGCAAAACUUGCCUUCUGUUUCCCAUCUUCCCAUUGAUACAUUCAUACAUGGCUAUGUUGCUUUCAAAAAAAUAAUUGAGGAUGAACUUUAAUUGCCAGAAACAAGCCAAAUUGAUGUUGCAAAGGUACUGUGCUCCCUUAAAGGGGACUACAGUGAAUUUGCUCAAGCCAGUUUAAGGGCAAUCUGGUUCCCAACAUCAAAUGUUGAUGCAGAACGUUCAUUUUCCAGGUACUCACUGGUAGUUAGUGACAGAAGACAACGUCUCACUCCAGAAAAUGGGGAAAUUUUAACUAUGAUAGCAUUUCAAUAAAACCGUCUUAAUGGUAACUUUGGAAGUGCUUAAUUGUGUAAUUUUGUAGUGUAUGUGAUUGUAAUUAAGUCAUGAAAUUUUUAGUAGUUAUUUAAAAGUUUGAAUUUAUUAAUUUGCAAAUGAACUUAAUUAUCUAUGAAUUUGCAAAUGAACUUAAUUGUAAUUAGAUCAUGAGGUUUUAUUGUUUAUUAAUAUUUGUUUUAAUAAAUUUGCAUGUCGUACAGAAAAGCAAGAAAAUUUUGCUGUGGGUAUUUUGAGCAAAAAAAUAAAACCAUAUAACACCGAAAUCUUUUAUUUCUUAACACCGAAAUUUGUCUUAAAAUAACACCACAAAAUCUUGACUCUACCCAUUUGUCUUCGGAAGAUUAUUGGAAAUUUUAUUUUGCGACUUCUAAUGGCAGUGAAGAAGGCUGCAGAAUACAGGAAUAAGACCAUGACAGAUGAUAUUGAGCUAAGCAUUUCUGAGCUAAGAAAGGAUAUUUUGAAUGGGCCAAAUCAUGUAUUUGGGAGCCGUAGUUGAUGCUGCAAAAACAGAAGAAAGCUCCAUUAUCAGUGAUUUGAUAAGUACUGGACUGUUUGAAAAAGUUAUGUUGGCAGCAAAACACCUUGCCAGGAAUACUCGUAGUUUGCUAUACUGUAUGGACGACAAUGCUGCUGAACAGUACAAUUCUUCCAUUUCCAAAUACACUGGAGGGAAAAGAAUCAACUUUUGUAGAGGAAAUAGUUACCAAACAAGAUGUGCUGGAGCAGUAGUACAGCAUAACACAGGAACAGCUCACUACACGAUACACAAGCAAAUGUAUGGCAGAAGUCCUGGAUUUUUCUGUAAAAACGUCCAACUUAAAAGGAAACGAAGGACAGAUUUGAAGAGACAUUCAAGAAACGUGCAGAAGAAAUAUCCAAAGCAGUCCAAGAAAUGCUCAAAGAAGUUGUUUUCGGGUUUUUGUGACAAAGAUAGUUUUUAUGGACCAAAUGCACAACAACCAGAUAUGAAUGAUCAAGAGUUUGAGAAAGAUCGCUCAUUAUUUCUUGAUUUACUGAGAAGAAGUGAUGAACAAAGAAAAAACUUAAAAAAAAUUACAGUACUUUAAAGUGGGAGUGGAGUGUGGUUGCAAGAACGAAGAAAACUACUCACUGUUUCACAUUUUGGGUCAGUUUGUAAACGUCGCAAAACAACCAAAUGUGACUCGCUGGUGAAAAGUAUUUUGUACGGAACAUCUCUACAGAAUGAAGCAAUCGUGCAUGGUCGAGAAAACGAGAAAGUAGCACUAGAAGAUUUGCAGAAUUCUUUAGGAAUAUCUAUUCGUCCAUUUGGUAGGGUUGUGCGAAUGUUCGGUAUACCGAUACCGAAAUCGAAAUUUUGCUACUUUCAUUUUCGAUUUCGGUAAGAAUUUCAUCUGUCGAAGUUCGUUUUUAGCUAAAUAUUUCGAGCCAAACGAAAGUUCAAUAGCUUACCGAAGUUCGUUUGUUCUAGUUGAAAAAGAAAUCGUAAUUUAAUAAAAAUGUACAGUAGAAUACCGGUACAAUAACGUACCUUAUUAUAAAGUAUAUUUCACUUAACAAAUUUUUUUUAAGUCCCCGCCAAAUAUCAUAUAUCUUCGCCAUGCAAAACGGUUUCAGUUUAAAGUAUCAUAUUUUCACUAUAACGUAUAAAUUCUACUAGUAGCGUGGCAUUACUACACCAAAAUUUACUUAAACUGGUAAAUAAAUUUCCAGCUAAAUGAUUAAUGUAGUAGAACAAAGAUACACAAAUACCACCGCAACGUAUUUUCUAACCUCUAAAUUCUCAAAACAAAGUUAACAAACAGUUGCGCGCACAACCAUAGAUUAUACCGUACGUAGAAUGCGACGUGAGCAACACAACACCAUUCGAUACAUCGAAAGACGGAGGUUUGAGAGAAGUAUUAAUUAUUUAGACAAAAGUGUUACGCUACGCUAAAAAUACUGUUUAAUGUCUGUGCCGGGAUUGUUUAUUGUUAUUGUUGAGUUUAUUUUCAGGUUACGUUAUUUAGACACCGCAUUGUAUUUGUGCUACAAUAUGAAUGAUCCUGGAGAUAAAAAGAAACGAAAGCAAUUCACGCUUAAGGAAAAAGUGGAUAUACUCAGAGAACUAGACAAGGGGAAAAAAGCAAGUCGCAGUUGCGAAUACAUAUGGCAUUGCGGCUCUCCUGUAGCUAUUUUUUUUAUAUAUUUUUUUCUCUUUGUAAAGAUAUGUAUGCAUGUUUCAGUACUAAGUACAAAAACUUGAGGUACCUUUAAGUACUUAGCACUGAGAUUCUACUGUAAUGUCUUUAUAUGAUUUGCAUAUGUUAUUACAUUAUUAGUAAUAACAAGCAAAUUAUUAAUUAGAAAAAAGAUUUCCAUUAAGAUUAAUUUACGUGGCGAUGAAAAAAACUCACGUUAAUGAAAAUACGGUAAAAUCAUAAUUUGAACAAACAUGGCAGAUAAAGUAAACAAAAUUCAACCGUGAUUACAGUAGGCCUAGGUAUCAAAACAAAAUCAUGCAAUAUUUGAAAAAUUACCUGAUUCAUUUGCUUUCAAACAGUAGUGUAGGUAUUAUAUUCGUAAAACAUACAUUCCAGAACUGUUAGUACACUAUUUAGUAUUUACCGUAUACACAUAAACAAAGAACGUACUUACUUUUAUUCGCGCACAGCCAAACACAAACAUUGUCGUCUGCUUUAUUUAAAUUUUACAUACUAUGACUGGCAUUUAAAAUCCUCAUAAUAUACAGCCAAUUAGACAAAAAGGUCAACAAGUCACUGCAUGUAAUGACCACUUGGCAGCAACCAUUUGUUAUGUUUUGUUUUGACCAUGUCCCUUGCCUGGUUUACAGCUUCUUGAGCUAGCCAUGUGUGACAGUGGUGCAAGAUGGCGGCCGUUCCGCAGUAUUCACGUAUUUUUUCAUCAGUACCAUGCACGAAUAAAUAUAUUAUCAUAGACUGCGACAUUACAACUGUAAAGGAAAUAGUCUGUGCGCUGAAAGAUCUGGAUUGAUUCUUGAAAUUUACGAGUGACAUGGGGCUGUGUUGUGUGGUCUAGGGCGGAUGUUGAUUAUAUUAAAUAGUAAUAUUUAUAUAUACAUCAAAAGGUACCAAAAUGAUUUAUGUAAUAGAAUUUAUUACUGAAGAGCAAAUUUUGGGGCACUUUUUUUCUUUGUUAAUUAAAAAAUUUCGCUUAACUUUCGUUAAGAAUAUAUUUAUCUCAUAGAAAAAUUCAUUUUCGUUUCACUUUCGCGAAACUUGAUAAAUUUUCUUUCACUUUCAUUUCGUGUGGAUAAAGUCACUUUCGCACAUCCCUACCAUUUGGUCUGUUUGUGGACGAGCAACGAUAAAUUUUCUUUCACUUUCAUUUCGUGUGGAUAAAGUCACUUUCGCACAUCCCUACCAUUUGGUCUGUUUGUGGACGAGCAACUGGAGAUGAUGGUAUAAUGGAAGUUAAAUUCCCCUUUUCUUCAGCAGACUUACAUCCAGAAGAUGCGAUAGCUCAGGGAAAGAUCAAAUCAUUUAAGUGCAAAGAUGGAAAAAUUGUACUCAACAAAAACAUGAUCAUAUCUUUAAAGUGCAGGGACAGAUACACAUUACAAAAAGAAAUUAUUGCAUAUACAUUGUCUGGACUAGGAAGGGUAUGUAUUAUCAAAGGAUAAAAAGGGACGACAAUUACUGGCAGAAAGAAAUAGAGGAUAAACAUGUUAAGUUUUACAUGGAUUGUCUAUUACCAGAGAUAAUUAAUUGACCCUAGAUAAUACAUAUGCAUGUUCUAUGCCAAUAAGAUAUCCUGAUUACAUACUGAAUGCUGGGAAGCAGUGCCCAGCAAUUUCAGGAUCAUCACAGGAUCAGCAGUGAGUUCAGUAAAACAAAACAAAACACUAUAUUUGUGAUUAUGGUGAGAUAUAUUUCAUAGUGACAGGUUUUCAUGAAUGAAGGUAAUAAUUUAAAAGUUUUAUUUUUAGGUUUGCAUACUUUCUUACUGUUAAAUGUUUAUGUUUAUACAGGUACACAUACUUAUCAAUCAACUACUUUUUACUUUUUUUUUUUUCAGAAUCAUUAAAUUAAAUUUACGAAUGAAAACACUUUAUAAACUUUCUCUAGUGCUUACUUGCAUUAUAUUUAUAAGGUUCUUAAUAUUUUUGGAAUAUAAUUAAAUUGAAUGCACAUGAUGAAGUGCAUAAAUUAUGUUUGUGAUAAUUGAAUUAUAUGUUCAAAUGAAUGAAAUGUGCAAACUGAAUUACUUAAUAUACUCCAGUGUUUGCCAGUGUUUGUAUUAUUUGCUGUAAAUAUGUAUUGAAACGAUGACUAAAUAUACUAAUUGAAUUUAUGCUCCAACAAAUUACGGUUUAUGUAGAUUAUUUUUCUAAUUUUUCGGAAAGGACGUGUAAUAUUUAGAAAAAAUAAUAGUAUAAACGAAAAAUCAUUAAUUAUUUAAUAUAACAGAAUUUUGUAACUACGAGUUGCAAUAUUUUUUUAAGGCAACAAUCUUCAAAUAUCACAUUUUUUUGGGGGUAGUUCGUAGCAGACGGUAUUGAAAAUUUAUUGUUGGUCAUGUUGUUCCCAAUUAGUUUUACUAAAUUGUCCUAUUCUUUCAUGAGAUUAAACCGUGAUUUUAACUGAUUAUUGAAUGAAAAAUGUAUGACGAAUUCAAAAUUUGUCAAUUUACAAAUUAGCCUAUAUCAUUUAGGCCUAACCCUACAUUGACAUAGUUACAGUUAUCGACGUUUAAAAAUUUGCUACUAUGGAAAAUCUGAUUUGAAAGAACACAGUAAAAUGAAAUUUACAAUAUAGGCUACUGUUUGCGUUUUAAAGUUUUCUUAAAAACUGUAAAAGUUUAAUAUCUUCGCCUUGAAUGUAUUUGUAUUGAGUUUAUUACAGUGUUCCUUUACUUUCUUUGAGAACUAAACACAAUGAAGCCUUUCUGUAGAAUCAUUGUCAUUAAAAGUAUAAGUUAAAUUAUUUUCGGUUUUAACACGACACCAACGAAUCUUAAAAUGCAGAGUAGGAACUGAGAUAUGCUGUGAGAAUUAAUGUUAACAAUGAUUUUGUUUCUGUCAACAAAAUUGCAGGCAGGUGAGUUUUAAUAUGUACAAUACCAAAUAAAAUAUUUAGUUGCUACAUUGAGAUAGUUUUUUUGUUACUUUUAUUUGUUUGUCUGAAAAAUGUUAUAUUAUAUGAUAUUAUAUUACAUGAUUAAAUAUUAUAAUUAGCUGAAACGAGCACUAAUAAUAACAAUUAACAGCAUAUAAUUACACUGUUAUUGUUAUGUGAAGUACUGUUUCGUAUUAUGAAUGAAACAGCAUUUUACCUAUCUCAAACAGCUCGCUAGACCUCUGAAGAACUUGCCAAGCAUAAUAUCUAUGAUCCUAUGCUUGAUACACUGCAUUUGCAAUCAUGUUUACAAUAUGAGUGAACAUUAUUACUAACUUAUUUAUCAAAUGGUUUGCAGUUCGUGAUUCUUCAGAUUCCAUGCUUACGUCAAAUGUUUUGCUACCUACUGAAACGACUUAAUUUGAUAUGUUUUGUCAUGAAAUUUAAUGACGAACACUAAAAUAUUCUUACCGCAUCAGAACUUAACUAACUUUUGAGAAGUAAGAGUCCUGUCAAGGUACACACAAUAGCCUACACUUUUCCAACCAAAUUGAUAGAAUAUCAAUGUCAGUUUAUUGGGAAAAUAAAUAUGAAAACAGGUAGUUUGGUUUAUUACAUAUAUGUAAUUGUAUCUAAUGUUCAAUCACGUCUUUAAAUCUAUAUUCAGUUUCAGGGCGAGUACAGAUCAAAGCCUGCCUACAACCUAUCGCUUAAAAGUACAACAGACGUGGCUGACAAGUACUUUUACGAUACAGUACAAAAAUGCCAGUUUACUACUCUGCCUACCACAGACAGCUGCAGAUAAAAAUGAAUGCACGUAAAAACUGGUUUUGUUGCUGAUACAAAUACUUAAGUAAUUAUUGUUUCAGGUAUUCACACGAUUAUUUCCUACAAGUUAGACAUUAGCUUCAGUUUACACUUUCAUUUUAUCAAUUUUAUUUUAUGUAUAUUAAAAACCUAGCGAUAUCGGAGCAACUAAAUAGUUGGUUAGGAUGAGAGAGUUUUACGGCUCCUCAAUAGUGAGGUAUCGACAGUAGAUGAAGGCAGAGAUUGGGUUAUUAACUUACCUAAUAUUUUGCGCAUUGCAUUGAAAAUCAUACUCUCUACAUUUCACCCGAAACAAAUAACUUUUUUCCGCACGAAUAUAGGCUGCAAAGCAUGUUUUCAAGAUAAUUAAAUAAAUAAAAAAAAUUAUCGAUGUUAAUUAAACAUUUAUUUCAAAAUUGGUACACAUUUUGUGUGUCAUAAAUGCUCACUGACAGUUUACCAGUAGUUUGCAAGUAAACGCUCCACGGUCAGCUUUUUGACGCAGCGCUCUCAAGGUUACUGGCCUAUGAACAAGGGAUGACUCCGCGUCUCCGCCUGUUCAAGGGACAGAGGAAGAGCGAGUCCACGCCAAAUACCACACGGCCUCCUUCGCAACCCCCCCUUCCCCCGGCUCCGAUAGAAUAACCGGUUUGGGGUGGCAAACAGCGACUCCGUCCACCACCCCUGGCGGCUAGUAGUGGGGGUAGCUAAGAGUUCGGGUUUUCCACUUCCCCUCGCACCACGUUUCUCAGAUACUGCGACAGCUUGCUAACGUGUGCCCAGAUGUCCCACCUUAAGGUAGCUUCUCAAUAAAGUUUUUUUACCUCAGAUAUAUCUGAUGCUGAAUAAUUUCUAGGGCGAUUGCCACGCUUGCCUCUUGUAUCGGUGGGAGGGGAAACUAUACCUUUAUUAAGGCUAGCAGCUAAAUUAUGCAGGCCAAGUAUAUUUAAAAAUGCCACCUUACAAACAUUUAGUCUGACCGGUUAUGCCCAGAACGUGUACUCUUCCUCAUGGUUUUUCCAUCUUUUCCUUUUUUCCCUUGUGGUUCAAUUUUUUCACUGCCAUUAGAGUAUGUCACAGAAGAUCCAGAUACCGGGAAAAUAAUAAUUCUAUUGAUAAUAUUUUCAUGUAUCAUACACGUUUUUUCCUACUUUUCUUGCUGAUCUAUUUUCUUACAACGUAUUUUUUGCUUCAUUCGUCGGUUAAUGCAACCAAAAAAAAUUACGUUAUUGGAAUAGUUAUGAAAGCUGUUUUUCUCAUGCUUUUAAUAAGAAACUAAAUACAUAAUUUCUUACUUGCUUCUCCAUGAACAAAAAAAAGUAUACAUUGUUACUAGAAAAAACUUUUUUUGUAAAAAAAAAAAAGGUCCAAAAUUCUCAAGAAAAAUAAACACCUCUAUGGAAAAAAAAGUAAAGCAUAGUAUCUACAUAUUUUCCAUGCAAUAAUUUCUUUGAAUGUUUUUAAUUUUUACUUACCUCCAGUAACUUCUAAGAGCUUUAAGUUCUAACUGGUGGAACAAAUUCUGGGUCCAUCUGAACCAUACAGCACUGCACUACCACUGCUUUCUUUGCUACAAUCACCAGAAUAUACGUUUUCAUUUCACACUGCAUAAAAAACAAGACCUUGCUUAGCCACUGUUAUUGUCAUAUACCAUAGAUAGAUGCACGAUUUUAUGGUGAAUCGCGAUAAAACAAAAUGACACCGAAAUUUGGUUAUAUACACGAAAUAAAACUAAAUAUGUGGAAGUCCGCGAAAUAAUGAUAAAUAUGCCGAAGUCCGCAACAUAACCUUAAUUUACCAGAUGUGUACGUUCAGAAGUUCCACCAAAGACGACAUGGUUGACGUGUGAUGAUGAAGUGAACACACAAAACAAUUUUCGUAUAUUUGGACGUUGCGAUACCAAUUUGACGCAUUAGACCGCAAUGAAGCGCUAGUGUAGCAUGUUUUAUUUGUGUUGAAAUUAUUUUUUUUGGUUACGUGAAUAUCUAAGACUAUCCAAAACUAAUGUUUUGUUUAUUGUUUAGUUCACAAAACCAGUUUAUAUUGUAUGAUUUCAAGCGGUUUGAAACGUAGGCUUGGUGAAUUUUGCUACGGCAAAUCAAUGUAAAUUAUUCUGAAACACAAAUAUUUCAUAAUGCCGAAGAAUAAAGUCUCGGCAAACGAGAGGGUUAAGGAGUUUGUUGGUGAAGGUAUUGUUUGUUCACCAACAAUAUGGCGCGCAUUAUUCCAAACACCACCAAUGAUUGCACUCUUUGACUUGGAUUGCACUGCAACAAUAAGACAAGUUUUUUUACUAACAUUAGGUAAAUACAAAACAACAGAUUGUAGAAAACACGUCACUUUUGGGCGCCAGGUGGACCACCUGUUAAAACCGAAAAGUCCUUAACUUUCAGGCAGGCUGGCCAAUGUGACAGUUUUGUUCUUUUCUUCAGGCACUGCACUAUUUACACUAAUCAUCCUGCCCACCUUGAAAUCAAGAUUUCAACAGUCGGUAGGCAGGGGACACAGCUUGACCGCUGGAUGCCGAAGGAGCCCCUGUGAAGUCUGCACUGUGGCCACCCGCACGACACCAUCCUUGCCUGGGUGGACCUCAACUACACGUCCCAGACGCCAUUGUAGAGGAGGAGUUCGAUCUUCCUUGAUCAAAACAAGCUGCUAUGCGCUGAGCUUAGGCCCAUGAUCAUGGCACUUGGCCUUCUGUUGGAGGGUGUGAAGAUAAUCCCGGUGCCAGUGACGCCAAAAUUCUUGAUGUAAACGUUCCACCAGUUGCCAACGCUGAAGCCUAUUCAGUGUCAAGUGGCUAAGAUCGAGCUCUGAAGGCGCAACAAGAGGCUCAAGUGUAAGAAAAUGUCCUGGAGUCAGUGCCCUGAGGUCAUUAGCAUCAGAACUAAUUGUACACAGGGGCCUGGAAUUUAAUACAGCUUCGACUUGAACCACCACAGUGUACAACUCCUCAAAGUUUAAUAUUUGCUCACCAACCACUCUGCUCAGAUGACUUUUGACCGCUUUCACACCAGCCUCCCAAAGGCCUCCGAAAUGAGGGGCUGCGGGUGGAUUGAAAUGCCAGUGUAUGCCUAGAGGAGCGGCCCAAUCAUUUACAGCUCUCUGGUAUGGUGCUGAAGCGAGAAGCUAUCGUAACUCACGUAAUCAGUUGUGGGCCCCGACGAAAUUGCUUCCACAAUCACUGUAAACAUCUGAACACCUACCUCGAUGAGCGAUGAAGCGCUUGUAGGCAGCCAUGAAAACAUCGGUGGACAAGUCGGAAGCGAGCCCCACAUGUACUGCCUUGGUGGCACAACACACAAAAAGGCACAAGUAAGCCUUUAACACGGGAACCUUAAGAGUUCUGCUGGGUUUGAUGGCAAACGGACCUGCAUUAUCCACACCCGUCCUAGAGAAUGGUUUCACCUGCUGCACUCUCAUAGCUGGCAGGUUUCCAGUAACGGGUUCACAGGGUGAUGGAUUCACCUUCCAACAUUGCAGACAGGAGCGCAAGACUCUACUGAUAGUACACAAUCUGACAUGUAGGAUUGUUCGGCCAGUGAACUGGAGAUUUUUGCAACCAGGAUGGACCCGUCCACCACAAGGCAUGAUUUAACAGCUGAGGGGGAAGAGGCCACGAGAGGCACAAUCAGCUGGGUUCCAUUCAGAUGGCACAUGCCUCCACCACGAGGUUUCAGUGAGCUCUUGAAUCUCACUCACCCUAUUGGCUACAAAAGUUUUCAACUGAUGGGGCGAAGAACCAAUCCAAGACAAUACAACCUGUGAGUCAGUCCACAAAUGGAUAGACGAAAAGGUGAAAACAGUUGCAAACAAUUCCAACAGACGAUGGAUCAGACGAGCCAACAACAGAGCGCCGCAAAGUUCUAGGCGUGGCAAGGACUGUGACUUGACAGGUGCAACCUUUGAUUUUCCAGCCAAUAAGAAUGUGGUGAUAUCGUCACCGCGUACGACACACAAGUACACCACCGCUGCGUAGCCAAUCUCCGAGCUAUUACAUAAACCAUGUAGUUGGUAUAACGACUGCGGUGGACCUGAAAUCUUUCUCGGCACUUCCAAGUGCGGCAAGUAGGUGCAACUCACUGUUGAAGCGGUGCCACUUCUCGACAAUAUCUGAUGAAGGCUCAUCAUCCCAGUCCAGUUUCCUUAACCAAAGAACCUGAAUUAAGUGCUUGGAGAACAGGGUGAGCGGUGACAGCCACCCAAGAGGAUCAAAAAUUCUGGCAACCUCAGACAGUAUAUUCCUUUUGGUGGGCCUUUUUGAAUUUGUCUUGAUCCGGUAAGAGAAAACGUCCGCUGUGGGGUCCCAUUGUACACCCAAGACCUUCACAACAUGUUCUUCCUGAUCCAACAAAUGCAUGCCUGGAGUUUCAACAUCACCUGCUGGGAGCCAAUCAAGAAGAUCCUUGUGGUUGCUCACAAACUUUCUCAGCUUGAAACCUCCUGCGGCCAGGAGAGAAAUCAAUUCUCGCUGAAAAGCCAGUGCACUCUCAACUGAUGACGCACCAGUGACCAUAUCAUCAACAUACACAUCAGUCAGCAGAAUGUUGGGUGCGACAGGAAAACGAUCCCUUUCAUCCUCAGCUAACUGUCGCAGAGUGCGAAUGGCUAGGUAGGGUGACGAUGAAACACCGUAGGUGACCGUUUUCUGACGAUACAUCUGUUUCACAUCCGGUGUGAAUACUACCUCAUGCAACCUAACCUUCAGAAUCACUUCAGCUACAUCCUGUUGCAAUUUGGGUCCAACAAGGAGUGCAUCAUUCAGAGAAAGACCAGUUGAGCUCUUGGCAGAAGCGUCGAAAACAACGCGUCAUUUUGUUGUUGAGCUGUCUGGGUUAACCACCCCAUGGUGAGGACGGUAGUAAGACGGCAAGGAAGGCAACUGGGACUCUGGUACCUUUUCCAUGUGACCUGUGCCUAGAUAAUCCUGCAUAAAUUCAUUGAACAUGUGCCUCAGGUCUACAUCUCCCUUUAACCUCUUUUCCAUGCGAAGAAGUCGAUUUACAGCAUGAGGUCUCGAAGAUCCAAAUUCUAGUUCAGUGUCACGAAAAGGCAACGACACCACGUAUCUACCAUCCUGGCCCCGGCGAUGAGUUUCAACAAAUAACUCUUCACAUUUCACCUCGUCCACAGACUUGUAUUUUACGGGAGGGAACUCUUUGACUUCCCAAAAUCGCCUCACUAUGUCCUCCAGUGGGGACAAAGUCAAAAGUGAUAAGCAACACGAAGAAGAAGGCACGGAAGGUAAAGUCACUUGUCCCAUCAAAAUCUACCCUAGUACGGAAUCCAGUGCCGUAAGGUAGCCAUCAAUCCUGUUUCCAGUUAAGAGUCGCGGAAUCACAUCAGCACCUAUCAACAAAUCAAUGGGCCCAGGAGUAUCAAACGUAGGAUCAGCCAAUUUUAGGUGAGCAACAGAGUGACGUACUUCUUUUGACAAUUUGACAUUCGGUAAGGCGUGAUACGAGGUAGUACAAACGCAUCCAGAGCAAACUGGAAGCCAGGGUUGUCCCGUGGAGAAAGGACCAAAUGGGUAACUGAUUUUGCAACACUGACUGGAGUAUUGGAAAGCCCAUGUAUCGGAAGAUAGGCCCGACGACGAACUAAACCCAGCCUCUGGAGGCAAUGCUCUGUGAUAAAACUCACUUGACUGGCCGUAUCUAGUAGUAUGCGAACUACCCGAGGUGUUCCAGAGACAUCAAGAAUGUGAACCUGGGCCGUAGACAGCAAUACAUAGGUGCCAUAGCCCAGGUAUCAGGUGUAACAGCUGACAGUAUGGUGGGGAGCUGCGUUCUAUCACCCGGUGAAAACUCAGUCUCAGACUGUUCUGAUGACUUGUGCUGAGUACUCUUCGGUUCGAAAUGCAACAAGGUAUGGUGCCGUGCACCGCACUACCGACAAGAUGAUGCCUUACAAUUUGCAAAGCGGUGAGACAAUGAAAAACAAUUCAAACACAUGUUCUUCUUAACAACAGAAUGUCUUUCGUUGGGGUUUAGUUUAAGAAAGUCAGGGCAGGUAUGCAACUUGUGAACACCGGAACAGAUAGGGCACGACCCCUGGACGGAACUGGUUAGACAUUUUGAAGAUGCUUGGCCACGUGGCUGUCUCCAAUUGGACUCUACAGGCUGGAGCCUUGGUUUCACAGACUGCAGGCUUGACUUCUUAGACCUGGCAUUGUUGGAACUAACUGCCUCGUAGGCCCGACAGUGUUUGUCAAGGAAUGCUAUGAAGUCUUUAAUUUAAGAGUCGGCAACUCAGGACCCAAACUCAUUUCCCACUGUGUCUGCAGAGACGUAUCCAACAGUUUGCAAACAAGAGGUAGAAGAAUGAGAUCCCAUUUGUCCACCGGAACAUCAAGAUUUGAAGCGCAGAUAGGUUUUCAUUGAGGACUGUUAACAACUGACGCGAGAUGUGAGAAUCAACAAAUGCCGACGGUGCCUGUAAUAGUGCAUCAACAUGCACACUGACAAGAAGCCGUUAUCGUACCGAUCCACCAGUAAUUUCCAAGCAAUGUCGAAAUAUCCCUCGGACAUCGGCAACGACUGAAUCAUCCCGAGUGACUCACCGUGGAGGGCAGAUUUCAAAUAUGCCAACUUCGCAAACGGACUUAAUUCGUCGUUGCCUUGGACAAGCAUAGCAAACAGAGUAGAAAAAUUAGGCCAAAGACGUGGAUCUCCUUCAAAAGUCGGAAGAUUGAUCUUCGGCAACAUCACGCAAGACUUCAAUUUAGAAUGAGUACAUGCUGUUAUCGCUUCCAUAUGUUCCUCAUUUUGGGCAUCUAAUGUAGCCAUUACAAAAAAAUAUCGCUCCUCAAACUCCGUCAAAUGAGCGGCAUGAGCAUCUAGGUCAAUUUCAGUACCUGAUGAAUCAGUUGCUGCCAAUUCUACUGUUACGUAGUCUGCAUCAAAAUGUUCGCGCACCUUAGAAAAAUCACGGCUAGUAGCGACAAACAAGUUUUUCUUUGUAGGAUCGGUGCCAAUAGCCUGCGCAAGAUCGUAAGCGCGCUUGAGGCGGCCUUCAGCGAUACGAAGACGUAGAAGGGCCGAUUGUAAUUCCGACAUGACAAAUAUGGGGAUGAGAACAAAGACAAACCAAACCCAACAACAAAAACAAACGAACAACGGCGCACUUUGAGGUUAUGCUGCAACAAAGAAGACAAAAAACUCUCCACACAAACUACCACAGUAAAACCCACCGGACGAAUAUCCGGCCCGGAGGACCAAAAAAUGUUUGUUCACCAACAAUAUGGCGCGCAUUAUUCCAAACACCACCAAUGAUUGCACUCUUUUACUUGGAUUGCACUGCAACGACAAGACACGUUUUUUACUAACAUCAGGUAACAACAACAACAAAACAACAGAUUGUAGAAAACACGUCACUUCCGGGCACCAUGUGGACCACCUGUUAAAACCGAAAAGUCCUCAACUUUCAGGCAGGCUGGCCAACGUGACAGUUUUGUUCUUUUCUUCAGGCACUGCACUAUUUACACUAAACAGGUAUACAUGUGUGAAAGUAAUUUGAUGUGUAAAUUUUGCAACUGCCGGCUCUAACAUGAAAGACGCGAUACUUUGGUGAAACAUGUGUCGAGUGAAAAACAUAAAAGGUUUAAAAAGAGUGGAAUACCCACAAAAAGGCAAGUUUCUAUUUCCAAGUCGGUAGUUACAAUGAAAAAUGCCAAAAAUGAUAAAGAAGACUUUAUCAUAAAAACAACUGAAGCCUUUGUUUCAGCAAAGAUCCCGUUGGAGAAAUUGGACAAUCCUGCACUUAGAGCAUGGUUUCAAGAUUGUGUGAAGGAUGGUGGUGACCUACCAACUGGAGUUUGGCUACGAAAGUACAUCCCGAUAGAAGCAGAAAAUAAAAAGGAGACUAUAAAAUCAGUCACAUUCCAAUAUGUGUUUUGGCUGACGAAACUACAGACAGGAAUGGGCGCUGUGUGUUCAAUAUUAUUUUCAGGACCCUUCAGCCUGGUGCAACACAAUCAUCACAAAUUUUUGCUGUAUCAGUACCUAUUGGAUUCUGCAGAUUCUGUAUCAUGUACUUGUGCUGUUUUAGACACACUAACUAAAUAUGAAGUGGAUCAUUCACAAGUGUGUGCAUUUGUAUCAGACUCUGCUAGGUACAUGAUUAAAUGUGCCAGUACACUUCAAGGUGUGUUGGGUGAUUGUGUGCUACAUGUGCAGUGCUGGGUGCACAAAAUUCAUUUAGUUGGAGUUGUUUGGCAGUCUAACCUUGAGCAACUCAACGAUGUUAUAGUGAAGGUAAAAAAUUUGUUUCAAAACACAAGAAAGUGCAAUCAUCAGUACAGUGAAACCUCUAUUUAACAAAUCUCAAGGGACCAAAAUUUGUAGUGUUUGUUGUAAAGGGGUUUGUUAAAUGGAGGUUUCGCACAAUAUAUUUCUAGUCACCAUAAAGCUUCACAUAAAUGGCUAGAACUGUCUUUCUGACUGUUUAAUACGAUAAUGAGGAAUUAAACAUGAAAAAGUACAUAGAAUACACUUGUUUAAUGGCCAACCAUUUGAUGCUUGGAAAUUAUCAAUUCCCAUCCCCAGUGCUUCCUGGCAUGUCUUUGUUGAUGUUUGAUGCCCUAGCCUCCAUUAACAAGUCAAAAAGUAUCUUGUCCAAAUCAUCAUUUUUACAUACUUUCACACGUUUUCGAUUUGUCCCUACCAGAGAAGCGUUGUUUUCGAUCUGUUCCCGGUUGGAUAAUAUGGUCGAAAGUGUAGACGCCGGGAUGUCGAAACGUUUAGCUAUAUCAAUUUUUUUUUCCACUUUCAUCAACUGCGUUUAAAAUUUCUAAUUUUAUUUUAACGUUAAUCUGUCGCCGCUUUUUAGGAUUAGAAUUCAUUUUACAGUAGUAACGUGUUGAUUUCCGUAACUACGUGUGGAAAUAAAUAAACAACAGUGAAAACUGAAAAAACGGAAAUUGUACUACACCAUAGUUAAAAAUAUUUGCGUGUGUGCAUCUUUAACCAUAGAAACGCAAAAUACACUAGUUGUUCGUCUUGCCAGAGAGAUGGUACGAGAGGUUUCCGCCACUAGCGCUAAAUGUACCUGCCAUUUUGAACAAAGUGUGGCAUGUAUACACGACGUGUGUUAUCCAUGAUGCUUUGUUUAUUUAUUGCCUUCCGCGAUGUUGCUUAUUAUUUUAAGGUUAUACGCACGUAUUUUUAAGCAGUGAAUGCAAAAAAAUUAGUGGAUGUCUUGUAGGAGAUGUUUAUUUUUGCGUGUUUUUCAAUAGCGGCAGUUCGUUGUAAAGGGAAUUUCACUAUUUCGGAACAAAUAAAAUUCGGUAUUUAGAGGUUAAAACAGCAUUGAUCUUAUGGCGGUUCGGCGGGACCAAAAUUUUAUUUCGUUGUAUGGGGUUUUUCGUUAAAUAGAAUAUUCGUUAAUGGAGGUUUUACUGUACUUGGAAUUUCUGAACACCAAAUACUCAUGAUCCUGCAAUGUGCAAGCUCUUUCCAGAACCUGUUCUUACCAGAUGGAACACAUGGUUUGAGUCUGUUGUCUAUCUCAGCAUACAUUUGCAGGAUAUCUUGGAAUUCUUUGAAGAAUUGAGAGAACACAACAGUGGCAUUAAAUUCCUGAAAGAAAUGUCUGCAUAGGAAGUGAAUGUUGUGAAAGAUGAAGCUCUGUUUGUUGCACAAAACUGCUCUCCUCUAAUAGAGUUGAUAACUUCCCUAGAGGGCAAUACGUACCCAACUGCACAUUUGUUAACAAAAUUGAAAGCUCUGCAGAACAAAUUCAGUGUUUUGAGCAAUGGUGUUGUUUCGGCUUCAAUAAAUGACUUGAUCUGUGAACUACGCACCAUGAAGCAGGCAGAAUUGAAACAAUGUUUGCAAUUAACUGGCAAGAAAUGUGAAACUAAACUUCUAGAACUGAUACAGAAUGAUCCUUGCAGGGAAACAUUUCAGGCAAUUGAGCACUUCUUUAACCCGCAAAAUGUAAGUAGGGUGUGCAUGAAACCUGAAAACAUACAAAAAGUAAAUUCUAAACCUACCUGCGAUUUCUCAUAUUCCCAGCGAAGUUUUUAUUGAAGCAUAUGCCACCUUCAAGCAUAUUAUUACAGAAGAACUUGCAAAACCAGAAACAUAGACUGGCGAUGUUGUGAAAGUUCUAUGUUCAAUGAAA